ensembl:snoRNA
ACGCGCUGCCUUUGAGCCCCCGCGCCUGCGCGUGGUGCCGGGUGUUAAGCUGCAGCGUCAGAGCAAGUGCUGUGCUCGCGCAUAACUGGGGCCUCCUGACAAUCGAUGGUGGUCCUUUUUAACCACGAGCGACAGGG